rnacentral:lncRNA from 1 species
CUGACCAAAGGCCGCAAUAUCCUUCGGAGGCCAACGUCGAAUUCCCGACUUAGCCACCGGCCAACUUACGGCUUUCGUUUCUCACUAUCCUUACGACGAAAAAGGAUUGAGAAAACACCGUUGUGUAGCCUGAUCUACCUCGCACGAGGAAGACUAAGUCGUAGACCUUCGCGGCUAAACACCAUCGCGGAACGACGACCAGAAAACCCCCGACGAACAACUUCCAUUAGUGCUCACUUGGACAAGGGUAAGUUGACGCCCUUAUUUCGAUGCAUUCCCGUUUCUAUUAUAUUAUGGGAAAUUUCUGGGGUAUAGAUGGGAGUGUGGUGAAUAUUUGUACAAAGUUUCAUGUUAUUUGAACUUCGUUUACUACUCUUUUAAAAUUUGAGAAGUCUACUGCCAGUAUCUGCUGAAACUGUCGUGAGGCAGAUGAUUAGGUUAAUUAUUUCAGUAACCAUAUGUUGAUAUUUAGCUCUCAAAUUUUUAUUGUAUGAAGAUAUAUGUGUUAGCUAUCUUCAUAUAAAAUUUGAGGUUAUUCCGGUAACGUUUGCUAUUUUUCAAAAAUCUGGACUUUCAGUUGGCAGAAACUGCCGAAUCUGGUAGGCGAUGGGAAAAUCGCUAUAUCUCUUAAACUACUUGGAGUUUUUCAACAUACUUUUUUUUCAAUUAAACUAGACUCAAAGAGGUUUCUAUUGAUAUAAAAUUCGACUCCAUACGAGUUCGGAGUAAAAGCAGUUUAUUAGUUGAAGUUGAAUCUAUACAGUUUUGUUGAGAUGGAAAUGAUUCAAAAUAAUUCCUAUUAAGGAUUUUAAAGUUUUAUUGUUGAUAAAAUAUCACUUUUAGAUUAUAAAUGAGCUAUUGAUGUGUAUAUAUAUAUAUUGGUGAUUGGCAUUAUUAAAUGGGGAAAAGGAAAACGUUUUAUGUUUAUAGAAUUAUUCUUUAUUUAUAAUAGAUAAAUAAAUGAAUAAUAUAAAAUGGAAUUUCCUACAUCCUCAAAGGUACAUGAAAUAUUUUGAUAAAGGAAGAACGAUUGUAUAUGAGUUAGAUAUAGUCGUUUAAGGAAAUAUGGGUAGUUAGAGAAAUGAGUGAAUAGUGAUUCACUGCAUUUGUUGUUAUCUUUUCUAUUAUUCACUCGAACACAUGUUUUCGUGUUAUCAAAGGUUCAAAUAAACAAAAGCGUCUGAGUAACCUAUCGCGCUAAGGAAAGAGAAUCAUUGUCUUAAGUAGCAAAACACUGCAAUCAGGUGGGCAUUACUUUUACUAUACGUAUAUAGAGAUCCCCUGCGUGUCGUAGGCCUCUUAUACGAAUGAAUGCAUGAGAUGAUUUAACUGUUAAUUUCAGUUUUAUAUAUAUCUAUCAAAUGAGUUUAAAUGUUACGUUCAAGCAAGUUAUUUCAUGACAAAAUCUUUGAGUUAAAGUUAUUUCAAGUAUUGUCUUGCCAUAAAAUGUUUAAAUUUUAGUAUGAUAUCUAUCUGCUUUGGCUUUGCCAAUGAUGCAAUCGAAUUCGGGUCUUGAGCAGUUGAUAGCUAUCCUGCCAGGGCUAGUGUACACCAGUGACCGUGAGUCAUCUAGCGGGUUGGCCGGUCAAGUGACCGUGAGAGGUGGCCACCUCUCCGGCACACAGUUCCAGAUAUGAUAGAUUACAAGAGAACUUAGUCUGCAGACGAACUUUAAGAAUACACAAAUGAACUUAGUAAGCUUGGGCCUUUUAGCGAAAAACUCCCUUGCUGUACUGUUUAUGAUGGCAUGACAAUUUACAGUUUUGAAGCAUGUAUUUUUAUACCUAGGCAUACGUGCCCACUGAGUGCUUUUGUACUCAGCCCUGCAUAUGUUUUCUAAAUGUGCAGGUUGAGCUGAUGUGAUGAUGGUGCUGCAAUGAGCGGAGUCUCCAGGGUUGUUAAUAAAUAGUUAACCUGUCUAGAAUAUGUCUUCAUACAUAUGUCUAGCUACUUUCCGCUGCAAGAUGUUGUUGAUGUUAUAGUAUGUUAUGUCAUACUUUGAGUCUUAAGAGAAUGGUUUCAUAUGAUGUAUAACUUGAUUAAUGAUAUUAAUUAAGUUUUAUGCUGUCUUUCAUAGACUAUUUUCAAUUGAGUAUUCAUGAAUAAAAAUGACGAGUUUUUAUUAAGAUGAGUAAGUGUUACGGCUAUAAAUGACGCCCCUUUUCUUCCCCUUCUUCUUUAACCCCAUCCCUAGUCGUAGAUCACUCGGCCUAACUAUCCAUAGUUAGGGCGGGCUGUGACAGUUUGAAGAAGAAGGAGGAGAGUAUAUAAAGAAGAGAGAGAGAGAGAAAGAGAAAAGGAAAAGAAGGCAACGGUCGAUUGACUGAUUUUUUUUUAAAGUCGACAACGGCCGAGUUUUUCAAAAUUCGAAUUUUAUUUAUUUUUAAUUAGGCGCGUGUGUGACGCGCGCCNUUUCUUUUCACACUGCAGCCACCUACCACCUCAAUUCCCUAUAAAUAAUCCUCGAAGCAGCAUUUGUAAAUACACCCAAAACCAAAGAAAAAAAAGAUUCAUCUGCAAUCUAGAGAAAGAGAGGAGCAGGUGAAGGGUUGGGAGAAAAGGUGAAUAGUGAAGUACUGUUCAAGUGAAUAGUGACAGUCGUCGCGAAUAGUGAAAUUUCGUGAAUAGUGAAAAUUAGAUAGUAAUUUUCACGGGGAAUAACGGGUUGUGAGUUGAGUGUUGUGAGUGUUGUAAACACUGUAUAUUUUUCUCCCUUGUUAAAUAGAUCACAAUUGUCAAAAGAUGCAAAUUUCAACAAUCAAAUUUUCAAAAGUUGCAACUCCCGGUACCAAAAAUUUCCACCAUUUUGAUUCUGUUGUCUGCAGAAACUCCUCUAUAAAUUGAGGAGAGUUCUACAGAAGGAAGAAGUGCAGCAAGAGGUGUGAGGCAAGAGAGAGUUUAGGAGAAUUUUUAAAAUUUCUUACUUGCAAGAGCUCAAGUGAGCUCCCUUCGCCAGGCUAUUUCUUCGCCGACCGGCCACUAGGCUCUGAACCGAGAACGUGUACUCGUUCCUCCAUCUUCAGGCUACCAAACCCAACAAUCGAAAGGCCGAAGCCUUCUCUAUAUUUUCCUGACCAAAGGCCGCAAUAUCCUUCGGAGGCCAACGUCGAAUUCCCGACUUAGCCACCGGCCAACUUACGGCUUUCGUUUCUCACUAUCCUUACGACGAAAAAGGAUUGAGAAAACACCGUUGUGUAGCCUGAUCUACCUCGCACGAGGAAGACUAAGUCGUAGACCUUCGCGGCUAAACACCAUCGCGGAACGACGACCAGAAAACCCCCG